UGCCUCGUGCUUCUGGAAGCCAGUCCUGGCUUUCCUUUGCUUCUGAGGACUUGACUCAUUUUUAUUCAUUUGUGAAGAAGGGCCCAUCCAAAUGCUUUAUGAAACCCACACUGGAGAACAUUUAUGGAGCGGGUUUUUGCCUUUGAAAAGGCCGAGGAGUCAGAGCUGGAGGAGAUGAACACAUGUGAUGAGGGUCCUCUCACCUUCCCUCCGGUUCCAUACUGUUGCCUACACAAGCACGGGAUUGUACCCCGGCUAGAAGGAAGGGUGAGCGUUAUGCCUGAGCCUAGUCUGAAUGAAGCACAGCUGGCAAAGCCAGAUCGCCUGCAUUAGGGCUCCCUGAGCUCUGGCCUCCAGGGAAAGGCCAUUCAAUCUUCUUUGCUCUGUGAAGCCUUGUCACGGCUGAUUUUUUAAAUCACUUGGAGCCACUAAAACACUCUAUGUUCUGCACACACGUGCACACCCUAUCUCAAUGAAAUAUAAUUUACUUGAAGGAUUC